rnacentral:rRNA from 1 species
UACGUAGGGGGCAAGCGUUGUCCGGAUUUAUUGGGCGUAAAGAGCUCGUAGGCGGCUUGGCAAGUCGGGUGUGAAACUUCAGGCUCAACCUGGAGCGGCCACUCGAUACUGCUAUGGCUGAGUCCGGUAGGGGACCACGGAAUUCCUGGUGUAGCGGUGAAAUGCGCAGAUAUCAGGAGGAACACCAGUGGCGAAGGCGGUGGUCUGGGCCGGAACUGACGCUGAGGAGCGAAAGCGUGGGUAGCAAACAGG